GAAAAACCAAUGUGCCUGGGCCAUCAACAAGUACAGAACGUUACAGAAAGACAAUUUAUAAGCACUCUAUCAUAUCAUAAAACGGUCAGAAUGUCUAAACAAGAAUGAGAAUUGAAAUAUUUUGAUAUAUCGAGUUUUGAAGCAAAAUGUAAAAUAUAUCGAACUGAUUUUAUGUGCUGGAAUACGAGAUCUAUGAAUAAUCAUUUCACAGCAAAGCAUCCAAAUAUAAAACAAAAUAGACAAAUGCACUGGACAUGGCAGUAUUUUAAGAAAUUUGGCCAUUCACGCGUGCGAUGCAAUAUUUGUAAAAAAAAAGUAUAUUGGAACACAGUUGGAACGAAGACAUUACAAUAUUAUUUAUCUCUGCAUGAUAUAUUUUCAGACAAAAAUUACAAAUAUCGUUCUAGCUUUGUAUGGAAUCACGUUAAACAGUAUAAUAGUACGCUGCGUAACUAUACCUGUUACGUGCAGUGUAAUGAGUGUACUCAUUAUGAGACCAUAGCGCUUAGAUUAAGGAAGACUAUUCUAAAGCGUCACAUGCAAACAGAACAUAUGGAUAUAUGGAUAGCAGAAGACUAUGCAAAGCACAAUGCACAAGAAGAAACAAAUAUGUCUGGGCCAUCGACAAGCAUACACCGUUAAAGAAAAAAACAACGGUUUAUCCAGAACACAUUUGUCAAAGACUCUACAUUCACAAGUAGUGAUGGGGUUUCAAAACUCUCAUUUGUAAAUUGUUAAGCCAACCAAGAAUGACUGAAAAUCAAAAAUCUCAAAAUCUUGCAAUCAC